rnacentral:lncRNA from 1 species
AAGAAUGCUACCCUUUAUUGAAUCCCCACUCUCUGCCUUGAAUUGUGUUAAAUUAUAUAAUUUAACCCUCAUGAAAAGUUUCAGAAGUAUUUACUUUUGUCUUUCAUUAUAUUUGAGGAAAUAGAGGAUCGAAGAUGUUAAGUAAUAUGCCCAGUCAUCCUGCAAGUAGCUGGCAGAACCAGGAUUAGAACCAUGACUAUUUCACUUCAAAAUUGUAGGUUUUCUAUUUAUUCUCUGGCCUCACACUGUCAAAUGAAUCUUGUAUUUAACAAGUAGGUCUUAUAUACUCUUUAUUUUUCAGCAGAAUUUAUUUUCUUUUCUAAUUAUUGUCUUUUUUGUCCAUAAUAUUCUUGUAUUAAAAUUUUUUGUUUACUGAUUUUUCCUCUUCAGAUUUUAAAAAUUAAUGAUGUGAAUUUUUGCGAACUAAUUGGCAUAGCACCUUGCCCAUAGGAAGUGUUCUGUAAAUACUUGAAUAAAUGAAUUUAAAAAACAGUAUAUGGUCAUACAGUCUUGGAUGUUUCAUUUCUUUUUCUUUUUUUCUUUUUUCUUUUUGGUCUUUUUAUCUUUUCUGGGGCCGCACCUGCAGCAUAUGGAGGUUCCCAGGCUAGGAGUCUAAUCGGAGCUAUAGUCACCGGCCUACACCAGAGCCAUAGCAGCACGGGAUCUGAGCCGUAUCUACGACCUACACCACAGCUCAUGGCAACACCAGAUCCUAGCAAGGCUAGGGAUGGAACCCGAAACCUCAUAUUUCUUGUCAGAUUUGUUAACCACUGAGCCAUGAUGGGAUGUUUCAUUUCUUACUCAUUUUUAUAUUUCUUGCUAACAGAGCCUCUUUUAAAACUACCCAAACAUAGGCAUUUAGAAUACCUUGUGUAGAGCAAAGUGUGAAAUAUAAAGAGGUGAUCUUAAGAAAGCUUCACAUUUCAUUGUGGGAGACAAAACUGUCAGGGGGUUCCAUUUUCUACUCAUAUUUUUAGGUAACCAAUCAUUUGCCUGUUUCUUUCCUUCCUUCCUUCCUUCCUUCCUUCCUUCCUUCCUUCCUUCCUUCCUUCCUUCUCUCUCUCUCUCUCUCUCUCUCUCUCUCUGCCUCUGGCAUAUGGGAGUCCCCAGGCUAGGGGCUGAAUUGGAGCUGCAGCUGCCAGCCUAUCCCCACAGCCACAGCAAUGUGGGAUCCAAGCCACAUCUGGAACUUACGCCACAGCUCACAGCAGAGCUGGAUCCUUAACCUGCUGAGUGAGGCCAGGGAUUGAACCUGCAUCCUCGUGGAUACUAGUCAGGUUCGUAACCUGCUGAGUCACAGUGGAAACUCCCUAUAUAGGCUUUUUAUAAAACGUAUUCUUUCUCUGAGUUUAACUGUGUCCUGCCCAACAGUUAAGUGGCAGAACAAAAUAUGUGUGGCUAGUGUUUAGUCUUCUACUGCUUACCACUCCUCCCCUACCACUCAGGGUUUGAGCCACCAUCACCUCUUGCUUGGAUUAUUUAGGUCUUUCUGCAUCUUGCUUUGCCUCUUUCUGCUGAGUCUCAACACACAGGUCAGACGAUUUGGUUCUAACCUAAGUUGGAUAAGGUAAUUCCAGAGAAGAGACUGCAGUUGCAACAGUGGCCUGCAAGGUCCCGCAUCAUCUGCCCCCACCCUGUUGGUUCAUCUCCUCCUGCUUUCCCCUCUGUCACUCCAUCCAGUUUCUCUGCUGUUCUUUCAGCCUUUCUGUGGUGCUUUGCCCUGUGUUCCUUUAGCUCAUUAUGCUGUAUUCCCAGGUCCUUAUUGGGCAGGGCUUGCUUCUUCAUCUUCUUAAGAUGUGUAUGUGUGUGUGUGUGUGUGUGUGUGUGUGUGUGUAUUUUUUUGUCUUUUCUAGGGUCGCACCCGAGGCAUAUGGAGGUUCCCAGGCUAGGGACUGAAUUGGAGCUGUAGCUGCCAGUCUACGGCCAGAGCCACAGCAACUCAGGAUCUCAGCCGCAUCUGUGACCUACACCACAGCUGCUACCUACACCACAGCUCGCGGCAACGCCAGAUCCUUAACCCACUGAGCAAGGCCAGGGAUCGAACCUGCAACCUCAUGGUUCCUAGUCGGAUUCGUUAACCACUGCGCCACGACGGGAACUCCAAGAUAUAUAUUUUUAAAAUAUUUUUAUUGAAGUUAGUGUACAAUAUUAUAUGGUACAGGUGUACAAUAUAGUAAUUCACAGGUUUUAAAAGUUAUACUCCAUUUAUAGUUAUUAUAAAAUAUUGGUUUUAUUCCCCACAUUGUACAGUAUAUCCCUGUAGCUUAUUUUAUAACUAAGAGUUUGUGCCUCUUAUUCCCUGCUCCUAUAUUGCCCUUCCUGUCUUCCCUCUCCACUAUUUACUAAUUUUUUUAGACUCCAUAUAUAAGUGAUAUCCUACAAUAUGUGUCUUUAUCUGAUUUAUUUCACUUAGUAUAAUACCCUUCAAGUUCAUCCAUCCAUGUUGAUGCAAAGGGACAAAUUUCAUUCUUUUUGUUUGUUUGUUUGUUUGUUUUUGUUAUUUUAUGGUUGCACUCAUGGCAUAUGGAGGUUCCCAGGCUAGGAGUCCAGUCGGAGCUGUAGUCACCAGCCUACUCCACAGCCACAACGACAUGGGAUCUGAGAUGCAUUUGCCACCCAUACCACAGCUCAUGGCAACACUGGAUUCUUAACCCAGGAGCAAGGCCAUGGAUCAAACCCGUUCAUGGAUGCUAGUUGGGUUUGUUAACCACUGAACCACGACGGGAACUCCUCUUUCUUUUUUAUGGCUGAUUUCUGUUCCAUUGUGUGUGUAUAUAUAGACACAUAGGUGAUCUUUACAAACUCUCCCAAGGUUUCCCUGACCACUGAAAGUUUUAGCCUCCCUCACUGCUUACCUUGGGACUAGCCACAUCCUCAUUCUCAACACUGUUUUCCUGGACAUUACUCAUUAUCAUCGACCAUGUUGUAUUUUUUCAAAGUUUGUUUUGCGUUAUGUCUAUCUCCUCCAACUAGAAACAAGGCUCAGAAGGCAUAAAGACAUGUUCUUUGUUUUGGUUUUGGUUUUUAGCCUUGUUCACCAUGAACACUAGUACCUAGGAUGGUGUCUGACCAAAGUGGAUGCUUGGUAAAUAUUUGAAGAAUGAAUGAAAAUGUAACUGUGCAACUCUUAUAUGUCAUAGAUACCACAUCCAACCUUUUGAGCAUUAUGAACUUUAAUGAUUCAUUCAUUCAUAAAAUAUUUAUUGAGCGCUUACUGUAUGCCCUGAGGGUAAAGUGGUUCUCCUGGAGCUUACUGUUUAGUCGGAGAGAUUGACAUUGAAUAUAAAUACAUGUCUAAUUAUUCAGUGCCACAUUGUAGCAGGGUUGCUCAGAGAAGACAAGCUGAGGAAUACUUGUCUAGCCCUGUCUUAUUCUUAGCUGUGAGCAGGGAUGAAGGUAAGGCUGCCAGGCUGCUACUUCCACAGGCCCAGGGAAACUUCUCUGUAGAUUUCUUAAGCCACAAUGGUUUUCAAACUAGAGUCAACAGAAUCAUAUGGUAGGCUUGUUAAAACACAGAUCUGGGCCUCCUCUCCAGAAAUUCUGGUUCAGUAGGUCUGGGGUAGGGCCUGACCAUUUGCAUUUCUGACAGGUUCUCUGGUGAUGCUGGGGCUGGGGGUCACGCUUUGAGAACAGCUGGAUUAUAGCAUGGGUCUGGCAUGUCUGUAUCCAAAAUGGAGAGGCUUAUUCUAAGGCAAGGGCCAAGAAGACUUUUGAUCUUAGUGAAAGGACUGCCUGCAAGGAACUUUGCAAAUAGUUACAGUUGUUGAAAACCACAGGGUAGGCAGAGAAGGAACUGGAGACAAUGACGUUUAUUUAUUUAUUUUUCUGGGCACAUUCACAGAUUUGAAAGCUUGAUCUAAUCACUACUAUUGUUUUCCUUGUGAGAGGCAAAAUACAUUUGGCUUGGACUGUUGAAAUUUUUGCUCCUCUGGAGUCAGACAUAAUUGAGUUUGAAUUUUAGCUCUGCUGCUUAUUCAUUGUGGAACAGCAACAAAUGAAUAGAUGGGUGAACUGGAAGUGAGGAAGCAGCUAUCUGGCCUUUGAGCCUAUCCUGCAGAAAGAGCAUCUUUUUAAAAACUUUUAAAGGUGGUGAAACUUUGGUUGCUUAAGAUUGUGAUUGGAAAUUAGAAGCUGUAGCUUGAAAGUAAGUCACAGAUGCCUUUAACCUCACAGGCCCCACCCCAGACUCUAGCCACUGAAGAUAAGACUUGCUAAGCUCUGGAUCUUGGUCAUUUACUUAAUAUUCUGAGUAGUAACUGUCUCCAGUUACUUUAUAUGUAAAACGAGAUUAGUAAUACCUUUUUCACAGGGAUGUGUAUACUGGAGAAGAUUGUAUAUGUCAAGGGCUUCCUAUAUAUUGCUUGAUACUCCAUAUAUAUUAAAUAUUGCUGUUAUUGUUUUUAAAAUACCCUCAAAGAUGACACCUUUUCUUAUUCAUUCUUCCCUUACCCAACCUCACCAUCCCCAAAAAUUUAGAUGGCUCACCCUUUAUGUGCAAAACAGGGAACAUUUGAUUACUUAGUUUUAAAUAGUUUAAACCUGAUUUUUUUCAUUGUUUACUUCUUGAAUAAAAGGCAAAUGUUUUCCAGAGGAUUUUUAUAAAACUUUGGAAAAGAGUACCCAUUUGAAGUCAGUGUUGGAGUGGGGGUAAUUGGGUUUUUAGUGUUUUUAAGGCAUUUACUUCCAGGUUCCUUCUACAUGCUUGGAAAUUUGUGGAUAAUCCACUAGGUUAUUCAGGAACUCUUUAUGGAGGAUGAAUAUCUAUU